rfam:Caenorhabditis brenneri strain PB2801 C_brenneri-6.0.1_Cont318.6, whole genome shotgun sequence.
GAGAGCACCUGGCCGAAAUCAUGUAAUAUUGCAAUGAGUUCUAUUACAUGUUCCGGGUAGGAGCUGUCGA